UACAGAGGGGGCAAGCGUUGUUCGGAAUUACUGGGCGUAAAGAGCUCGUAGGUGGUUUGUCGCGUUGUUCGUGAAAACUCACAGCUCAACUGUGGGCGUGCGGGCGAUACGGGCAGACUGGAGUACUGCAGGGGAGACUGGAAUUCCUGGUGUAGCGGUGGAAUGCGCAGAUAUCAGGAGGAACACCGGUGGCGAAGGCGGGUCUCUGGGCAGUAACUGACGCUGAGGAGCGAAAGCGUGGGGGAGCGAACAGG
rnacentral:rRNA from 1 species